AGUCGCUACUGUAUAAAUAGGAGACGCCGGCAACGCACAAGCAGGUGGUCAAAACAUUCAUGGUUUUAAAUGUUCAUUCAUUCGCCGGAGUCCCUGGCGGCCACUCAAAAUCAAGCCACACUAGCUCCCUAGGAUUGUUUUCAACACAGCCAUCUACGUCACGGAACUAUAAGCCAGCUCUCAUCUCCCGGCCAGCUCUCUCUCUCGUUCCCUUGCUCUCGCACUCACACACGCGCGCGCGCCCGCCCGCGUGCACCCUCACAUGCGCUACAUCUGACUUUCCUGGCAGACGCGGCAGCGCAAGAAUAUCGCACCGUUAAUAUCGAUGUAGGACAACAAAGCAGUUGAGGUGACUGGAUGUGUGUGUGUGUGCUUCUUACAGUUGGGUCCUGAAGAUGACUGUGAGUAUGGAGAAGGCUAUGGAGGCAGCCAAACCAAUGUCAGGGUUGAGCAACACCGUCAAAACCAAGGGCGAAGAUGCGCCCGAGAGAGAUGGCAAUGCCGUAGCCCACCACAGCCAGAGCAAACGCGUCCCCGAUCACCUGACCAAACAGCGAGGCGGUGGGCAGCACUGGGGGCUGGAGGCUGGGGACGGCACACAAACAGGACUUGGUGUAUGAAACUCACCCCCAGCAGCUCCACAGGGAUCGGGACAGGUAGUUUGGGGCCCAGAUGAGGGCGAGUGGUCCGCUAUAGCGUCCAGGACUGAUUCCAAACGUGUACUUGAGCUGGGAGACGAUGACGUGGAUGGCUGCUGCGGUGGUGUAGCCUCUCACCAGAGGCUCGGACAGUUGACGGCCGUCUGGCUCACCUGGAAGAGGCCCGACAGGAAGGUGACGGCGGCAGCCACCUUGACCCGCUCCGCGUCGCGCCCCAGCACGUCCACCAUGCUGUCGUUGGUCACGUUGCUCCAGACCAUGAAGUCAGAGUCGGGCGCCAGCCUCUCCGUCACCCCCCCGAUCAUCACACUCAUCACUGCAUAGGUGCCUGGUGGAGGGGGGUGGGUUAAUGGUGUUUGUAGAAAGUUAGUUUAGCCCUAAGGGCUCGUUGGUUCUGCAUAAUAAUACUACACUACUAUACCUACAACCAGUGUUGGGGUAGUUACUCAAAAAAAGUAAUAGAUUACACAUUACUAGUUACUUAA